rnacentral:rRNA from 1 species
UACGAAGGGGGCGAGCGUUGUUCGGAUUUACUGGGCGUAAAGGGCGCGUAGGCGGCAAUUCAAGUCAUCUGUGAAAUCUCCGGGCUUAACCCGGAACGGUCAGAUGAUACUGCUUUGCUAGAGUGCGGAAGGGGCAAUCGGAAUUCUUGGUGUAGCGGUGAAAUGCGUAGAUAUCAAGAGGAACACCUGAGGUGAAGACGGGUUGCUGGGCCGACACUGACGCUGAUAGCGCGAAAGCCAGGGGAGCAAACGGG